GCAGGGGUGAUGCAUGUAGAUGUUUUACAUGUAGUGUAGUAAUAGAUACAGUUGUUAUAGCAAGAUGCAUGUCUAAGAAGAUGCGCGUACGGGCAUUUGCAGCAGCUAGCUAGCAGCCAUGAUCAUGUGUGUAUACAGUUAAUUAGUGGAUCUGCACGUCCUCUUCGAGAAAGCCAAGAGGCCACCAGCCGCCGGUGUAUCGUCGGAAGCCGCAGGCAUCGAGGGCGGAGGCGAACUUUUUGAGGCCCGACGUUUCCGGAGGGUUGAAUUUGCUGAUUCUGUUGUACAUCUCUUUGUAGCACAUGAAGUCCACCUUGAUGUCCGUUAUCACGUUGGAAAAGGCCCAGCUCCAUGAUGGCCAAGCCACGGCCUGCUCCGGCUGGCUCAUCAGCACUAGCCACGCCACCGCCGCCACCGCCAACCACCCGCUCCUCUUCGUUGUCGUCAUCCUCUUCGUAAGUAGUUGAUCCCCUCCUCGAUCCCUCCCUGUUUUUUUUUUUCUUUUUCGAUUACUCUAUAAUUUAUUGCUCUCCUCUCUCUGCCUUUUUAGGAUUGCGGCGCAUGCCAUUUUAUAGACACAGUUUGGUAGUAGCAAGCAAGUUUUAUACUUAAGUUACAUCUAAUGCCAAUAUUUUCAUAAUCCUGCUGAAGAUAAAUUUUUGUAUUUGAGUAUGACAUAAUUGUUAUGCUUGCGUUUGCUAUUAAUUAAUUAAGCGAUACGUAUUGUUUUGCAACAAACAAAAUUAAUUAAAUGUCGGUUAGCUUCAAAUACAUGCUUUUAACCUAAUAAAAAAAUUUAGCUCUUUUGCAAACGCUUGGAAACUUUAACAUUAGCAAAUUAAUUAGAUUUCUUAAAUUUUAUUAAAUAGUUGAAUACAUAGGCCUCUCUCCCCACUUGAAUUGCAUUCAUUGUCCCUUUAAGUCGAUAUUUUGAAUAUAAUCUUAUAGAAAUAAAAAAUUGAAGUUAGAUUCAUCCCGUCAAAGAAAAAAAAUAAAAUUUUUUUUAAUACUUUUAAAAGCUUACAAGAUUAUUUAUUUUUAAUAAUUUUAAAAGCUUACAAGAUUACGUUCAUAAUACACGACCAAAACAGAGAAACAAUUAAUAACUAUAGUUGAAGGAGUCUAAUUCCCAAAGUAGUAAGUUUAAAUGCUUGUUUGCAAAAAAGGCUAAGAGUUCUGACGGCGAAUUUCAGAGCUCUUUUAUAAAAUGCUUUCGGAGCUCUUUUAUAAAAUGCAAGUUCUCAUAGCAAUUCACAGUUCAGCGAGUGAAACAUUGAUUAAUAGAGAAUGCACUUCUUUAAGCAUCAUAUUUGGGUAACAUUUAUCCAUUACAAAAGCCAUAAAAUGGCUGCGCUGCAUCAGACCACGUUCAUCAUGCACACGACAUCAGCAUGUUACUCCAAAAGAACGAACUUCAUAGAUAAAUUUUACAGCAGAAAACCAAAGAUAUAUUCGACGUUACAAGUGGAAUACGCCGGUCCUAUCAAGAAAAUACUGUAAAUACCAUAACAGGUCUCAUAUCUCAUCGUACAUUACAAAACCGAGUAAAUGAGCGCAGGCCUCAAGGACAGGGUAAGCGACAAUAAGAACAAGUAGACGACACACAUAUUUCCACACCCCUCAAUCGGUUGCAGCUUCCUUGACAUCAACAGUAAAAUUAUACUCCUGGUCACAGCCCAGAUAGGAAUCACACAUGAAGUAAAUCGUGUAGGUCUUCUUUCCAGCUUCUGCAGGAGCCGUAAAGACAAGCUUGACUUUUGCCUUCCUCUGAAGCGAGACCCUUUUGAUAGCGAGCAACUGAUUGGUGGAGCUGUCUCCGACUACAAGCCACCAUCCUUCCUCUUUGGGCUUGGGGUACCUCGGUGCAUCGACUGGACCCACCUCAGCCCGGC
rnacentral:lncRNA from 1 species